GACGUAGGGCGCGAGCGUUGUCCGGAUUUAUUGGGCGUAAAGGGCUCGUAGGCGGCCAACUAAGUCAGACGUGAAAUCCCUCGGCUUAACCGGGGAACUGCGUCUGAUACUGGAUGGCUUGAGUUUGGGAGAGGGAUGCGGAAUUCCAGGUGUAGCGGUGAAAUGCGUAGAUAUCUGGAGGAACACCGGUGGCGAAGGCGGCAUCCUGGACCAACACUGACGCUGAGUGAGCGAAAGCCAGGGGAGCAAACGGG
rnacentral:rRNA from 1 species